GAUGAAGAACGUAGCGAAAUGCGAUACGUAAUGUGAAUUGCAGAAUUCAGUGAAUCAUCGAAUCUUUGAACGCAUAUUGCGCUCUCUGGUAUUCCGGAGAGCAUGCUUGUUUGAGUAUCAGUAAACACCUCAACUCCCUUUUCUUUUUUGAAAUGGGAGCUGGACUUGAGUGAUCCCAACACUUUUCUCACUGGAAAGUGGCGGGUCACUUGAAAUGCAGGUGCAGCUGGACUUUUCUCUGAGCUAUAAGCAUAUCUAUUUAGUCUGCCUAAAAAACAGAUUAUUACCUUUGCUGCAGCUAACAUAAAGGAGAUGAGUUCUUGUGCUGACUGAUGCAGGAUUCACAGAGACAGCUUUGCGGCUGACUUUGUAAACUUGAUCUCAAAUCAAGUAAGACUACCCGCUGAACUUAAGCAUAUCAAUAAGCGGAGGA
rnacentral:misc_RNA from 1 species